UGAUUUUUAUCGAUGUAAAUAGUGUUUAUUAGCGCACGGCUCAUGCUUUACGAGCCAUUCCCUUGGGCCCGAGCUAGCAAUAGUUUCGGGCACUUUUUU
rnacentral:sRNA from 1 species